rnacentral:lncRNA from 1 species
UUUUGCAACACUAAAAACUCUCAAAACAUCCUCCAAACCGUAGCUGAAAGCAAGGGUUCGAGCAGAUUGACACCCCUUCACGAAAAUGAGCAUAACUCACUCAAUUCUUAUCCGAUUCACUCGAUUCUUUUUCCUACUACUUUGUAUUGACCUUAUCUAAGUUUCCAUGGGUUUUUCACAGUAAAUAAGUCCCUGGAACUCCAGCAAAAAGGCUCCAAAGUCCACUGAUUGUUUUUGUUUUCAUGAAAUCCUUGUUAUUUCUUACCAAACUUGAGUCUAUCUCAUCUCAAACCUAUGUCCUAAUGCUUACAACACUUUAGUGGUUGGUUAGGCUUAAAAACAAGGUUGAGACACUUAAAAAUCAGAGGACUAAACCUCAUAAACUUGGUGUUUUGUUUAGGGUUUUUAACCCACAAGCCAUGUCAAACUUUGUCUUUGAUACAUGAGUGAUUAUGGAACAACUUGGGUUGUCCAAACAUACAAUCCUCACAUGAUUUGAUGAUUUCUCUUAGUUAGUGUGUAUAUUUCUUAUUCUUUAUUGUAUGUUCAUGACCCUCCUUGGUUGUUUUUUUUACAUCAAGUGUAGUGGUGAACACAUAGAGGUGCCUAAAUGGAAGACUUGAUCUUCCUACCUCCUACAUGAUUUCUAUGACAUUUAGAGGUACCAAAAUGAAGAUUUUAAUCUUCUACCUCAUGCUUGAACUAUUGGACAUAUAUUAUAUAACCUAAAUAUAUUAUUCGAAUAAUCGAAUCUUUGAUGAUGAACUAGUGUUCAUAUGUCGGGGUACUAGAUUACAUCAUCCUAGACUAUGAUAACUUGUCACGAUUCUAAUGGAACCUUGUUCCAUGAAAACAUCUAAACUCCUUCGAGUUUCCUAGUGUCAAGAACAAGCAUCAUAUGUACUAAAUGAUUAUUUUCCAUGUUAUUCUCAUAUCUUAUUUUUAUGUUGUUUUAAACACCGAAUCUCGACUCUAAACAUACUUGAACUUUAACCCUUAUACAUUCGGACUCUAAAUCUCUACUCGUCAACAAUUGGAUAAUCGGAAAGCAUAUGCAAGCCUUGUUGAUGAGGAUGUUGCUAAGAAAAGAAGUAGCGUUGAGGCCUAGAUACACAUAUAGACGUUAGGGUUUAAUAUGUUGUAUCAAUUUUGUUAUGUUGUCAUGUUAUUUUGUUAAACUUGUUGUAUUUGAAUUUCUUGUAAUGUUGACAAUUCAUCUUAUGAAAUGAAAUCGGAUUAUU